AUUGCCCUUACGGCUCAGUAACACGUGGAUAACAUGCCCUAAGGUGGGGGAUAAUCUCGGGAAACUGAGGAUAAUACCCCAUAGGUCUGAUAUGCUGGAAUGCUUUCAGGCCGAAAACUCCGGUGCCUUAGGAUUGGUCUGCGGUCUAUCAGGCUGUAGUGGGUGUAACGGACCCACUAGCCCGUGACGGAUAUGGGCCUUGAGAGAGGGAGCCCAGAGAUGGACUCUGAGACAUGAGUCCAGGCCCUACGGGGCGCAGCAGUCGCGAAAACUUCGCAAUGGGGGCAACCCCGACGAGGGAAUUCCAAGUGCCAGCACUUUGUGUUGGCUGUUCUCCUGUCUAAAAAACAGGAGGAGUAAGGGGCGGGUAAGACGGGUGCCAGCCGCCGCGGUAAUACCCGCGCCCCUAGUGGUGGUCGAUAUUAUUGAGCCUAAAACGUCCGUAGCCGGUCUUCUAAAUCCUUGGGUAAAUCGGGCAGCUUAACUGUCCGAAGUCCGGGGAGACUGGAAGACUUGGGACCGGGAGAGGUCAGAGGUACUUCUGGGGUAGGGGUAAAAUCCUGUAAUCCUGGAAGGACCACCGGUGGCGAAGGCGUCUGACUAGAACGGAUCCGACGGUGAGGGACGAAGCCCUGGGGCGCAAACGGGAUUAGAUACCCCGGUAGUCCAGGGUGUAAACGCUGCGGGCUUGGUGUUGGGGGUCCUUAGUGGGCGCCCAGUGCCGGAGAGAAGUUGUUAAGCCUGCUGCUUGGGGAGUAUGUCCGCAAGGAUGAAACUUAAAGGAAUUGGCGGGGGAGCAC
rnacentral:rRNA from 1 species